CCUAUAAUGCAGUCGAGCGACAGACGAGGAGCUUGCUCCUCUGACGUUAGCGGCGGACGGGUGAGUAACACGUGGAUAACCUACCUAUAAGACUGGGAUAACUUCGGGAAACCGGAGCUAAUACCGGAUAAUAUAUUGAACCGCAUGGUUCAAUAGUGAAAGACGGUUUUGCUGUCACUUAUAGAUGGAUCCGCGCCGCAUUAGCUAGUUGGUAAGGUAACGGCUUACCAAGGCAACGAUGCGUAGCCGACCUGAGAGGGUGAUCGGCCACACUGGAACUGAGACACGGUCCAGACUCCUACGGGAGGCAGCAGUAGGGAAUCUUCCGCAAUGGGCGAAAGCCUGACGGAGCAACGCCGCGUGAAUGAUGAAGGUCUUCGGAUCGUAAAACUCUGUUAUUAGGGAAGAACAAAUGUGUAAGUAACUAUGCACGUCUUGACGGUACCUAAUCAGAAAGCCACGGCUAACUACGUGCC
rnacentral:rRNA from 1 species